GUGGCGAACGGGUGAGUAACACGUAGGCGACCUGCCCCGAAGAGGGGGAUAACCGCUGGAAACGGCGGCUAAUACCCCAUGUGGUCGUGAGGGUUAGAGGCCUCAUGAUUAAAGCUCCGGCACUUCGGGAGGGGCCUGCGGCCUAUCAGCUAGUUGGUGGGGUAAUGGCCCACCAAGGCAAUGACGGGUAGCUGGUCUGAGAGGACGAUCAGCCACACGGGCACCGAGACACGGGCCCGACUCCUACGGGAGGCAGCAGUGAGGGAUAUUGCGCAAUGGGCGAAAGCCUGACGCAGCAACGCCGCGUGGGCGGUGAAGGCCUUCGGGUUGUAAAGCCCUUUUCUGGGGGAAGAGGAAGGACGGUACCCCAGGCAUAAGUCCCGGCUAACUACGUGCCAGCAGCCGCGGUAAAACGUAGGGGACGAGUGUUAUCCGGAUUCAUUGGGCGUAAAGCGCGUGCAGGUGGUGCUUUAAGUUGGGCGUGAAAUCUCCUGGCUUAACCGGGAGGGGUCGUUCAAUACUGAAGCACUUGAGGACAGGAGAGGAAAGUGGAAUUCCCGGU
rnacentral:rRNA from 1 species